GAUGAAGAACGUAGCGAAAUGCGAUAACUAGUGUGAAUUGCAGAAUUCCGUGAAUCAUCGAGUCUUUGAACGCACAUUGCGCCCCCUGGUAUUCCGGGGGUCAUGCCUGUCCGAGCGUCAUUGCUGCCCAUCAAGCACGGCUUGUGUGUUGGGUCGUCGUCCCCCCCUCCGGGGGGGACGGGCCCUAAAGGCAGCGGCGGCACCGCGUCCGAUCCUCGAGCGUAUGGGGCUUUGUCACCCGCUCUGUAGGCCCGGCCGGCGCUUGCCGAACGCAAAACAACCAUUCUUUCCAGGUUGACCUCGGAUCAGGUAGGGAUACCCGCUGAACUUAAGCAUAUCAAUAAGCGGAGGA
rnacentral:misc_RNA from 1 species